CCAAUAGCGUAUAUUAAAGUUGUUGCAGUUAAAAAGCUCGUAGUUGAAUUUCAGGCCUGGCUGGACGGUCCGCCCUUCGGGUGAGUACUGUCUGUGGUCGGGUCCUACCUUCUGGCGAAGCGUCGUGGCCUUAACCGGCCGUGGCGGGGAACCAGGACUUUUACUGUGAAAAAAUUAGAGUGUUCAAAGCAGGCAAAUCGCUUGGAUACAUUGGCAUGGAAUAAUGGAAUAGGACAAUGGUUCUAUUUGUUGGUUUCUAGGACCGUUGUAAUGAUUAAUAGGGAUAGUUGGGGGCAUUAGUAUUCAAUUGUCAGAGGUGAAAUUCUUGGAUUUAUUGAAGACUAACUACUGCGAAAGCAUUUGCCAAGGAUGUUUUCAUUAAUCAAGAACGAAAGUUAGGGGAUCGAAGACGAUCAGAUACCGUCGUAGUCUUAACCAUAAACUAUGCCGACUAGGAAUCGGGCGAUGUUGAAAAAAUGACGCGCUCGGCACCUCACG
rnacentral:misc_RNA from 1 species